GACGAACCACACAAACGUUAUUCGGAAUUACUGGGCUUAAAGGGUGCGUAGGCGGCGCGGCAAGUUGGGUGUGAAAUCCCUCGGCUCAACCGAGGAACUGCGCCCAAAACUACCGUGCUCGAGGAAGAUAGAGGUGAGCGGAACUUACGGUGGAGCGGUGAAAUGCGUUGAUAUCGUAAGGAACACCUGUGGCGAAAGCGGCUCACUGGGUCUUUUCUGACGCUGAUGCACGAAAGCUAGGGGAGCAAACGGG
rnacentral:rRNA from 1 species